UUAGUGGCUGCCAUAUUGGAU
rnacentral:miRNA from 1 species